rnacentral:rRNA from 1 species
GUUACCAAACUGUUGCCUCGGCGGGAUCUCUGCCCCGGGUGCGUCGCAGCCCCGGACCAAGGCGCCCGCCGGAGGACCAACCAAAACUCUUAUUGUAUACCCCCUCGCGGGUUUUUUUAUAAUCUGAGCCUUCUCGGCGCCUCUCGUAGGCGUUUCGAAAAUGAAUCAAAACUUUCAACAACGGAUCUCUUGGUUCUGGCAUCGAUGAAGAACGCAGCGAAAUGCGAUAAGUAAUGUGAAUUGCAGAAUUCAGUGAAUCAUCGAAUCUUUGAACGCACAUUGCGCCCGCCAGUAUUCUGGCGGGCAUGCCUGUCCGAGCGUCAUUUCAACCCUCGAACCCCUCCGGGGGGUCGGCGUUGGGGAUCGGCCCUGCCUUGGCGGUGGCCGUCUCCGAAAUACAGUGGCGGUCUCGCCGCAGCCUCUCCUGCGCAGUAGUUUGCACACUCGCAUCGGGAGCGCGGCGCGUCCACAGCCGUUAAACACCCAACUUCUGAAAUGUUGACCUCGGAUCAGGUAGGAAUACCCGCUGA